rnacentral:rRNA from 1 species
GAUGAACGCUGGCGGCGUGCCUAAUACAUGCAAGUCGAGCGAACAGACGAGGAGCUUGCUCCUCUGACGUUAGCGGCGGACGGGUGAGUAACACGUGGAUAACCUACCUAUAAGACUGGGAUAACUUCGGGAAACCGGAGCUAAUACCGGAUAAUAUAGUGUACCGCAUGGUUCAAUAGUGAAAGACGCUUUUGCUGCAACAUAUAGUUGAAUCCGGGUCGCAUUAGCUAGAUGGUAAGGUAACGGUUAACCAAGGCAACGAUGCGUAGCCGACCUGAGAGGGUGAUCGGCCACACUGGAACUGAGACACGGUCCAGACUCCUACGGGAGGAAGCAGUGGGGAAUCUUCGGCAAUGGGCGAAAGCCUGACGGAGCAACGCCGCGUGAGUGAUGAAGGUCUUCGGAUCGUAAAACUCUGUUAUUAGGGAAGAACAAAUGUGUAAGUAACUAUGCACGUCUUGACGGUACCUAAUCAGAAAGCCACGGCUAACUACGUG